rnacentral:rRNA from 1 species
UGAGGAAUAUUGGUCAAUGGGGGCAACCCUGAACCAGCCAAGUCGCGUGAAGGAUGAAGGUCUUAUGGAUUGUAAACUUCUUUUAUACAGGAAUAAAUUGGGGGACGUGUCCCCUUUUGCAUGUACUGUAUGAAUAAGGAUCGGCUAACUCCGUGCCAGCAGCCGCGGUAAUACGGAGGAUCCGAGCGUUAUCCGGCUUUAUUGGGUUUAAAGGGUGCGCAGGCGGGAUGUUAAGUCGGCGGUGACAUUUUGCAGCUCAACUGUAAAAGUACCUUCGAUACUGGCUUCCUUGAGUGUAGAUGGAGUAGGCGGAAUUUGUGGUGUAGCGGUGAAAUGCUUAGAUAUCACGAGGAACUCCGAUUGCGCAGGCAGCUUACUAAACUACAACUGACGCUCAUGCACGAAGGCGUGGGGAUCAAACA